rnacentral:lncRNA from 1 species
UUGGCUUUUUUUAUUGCGGUACUUUUUUUACUAAAAAGGGACAACGUUUUUUUUAUUCAAAUUGUUAGAGUACGUCGAUACAAUACAAAUUCACUAAAAACAAAAAUGAUAAAUUUGCGAACAAACUCAUAACAUUCAUGUUCAUAACCUAAAAUGGUAAAAUACAUAAGCCUACAAAUAUGACUAUAUUCGGUUGUUUGGAAUAGCCAUAUCUCAGAAUUUGUAAUGAAAAUGUACUUGAUCGAAGCUAAUCUGAAGCCAUAUCUCAGGAAUAGACAUUGAUUGGAUCUGCACUUGAUCGAAAUUGAUUUGACAAUCUGAAGUAAUCUAACACCACAACAAGACGACGAGAAAACAAAACAAAACCACACCAAGACGGCGAACAUCACACUAAGAUGAAGAAAUCACAAAAAUAACUAAAUAUAUUAAAAGAUCACAUAUUUAAAUAAAAAAGAAAACAAAAUGAUUAAAAUGGGUGAUUUCUGAUCAAAUUUACGGCUAAACCAACUACCUUUGGUGAUAGAUGAAGUUGAGUACUUAGGGUUAUGGAUGGUUGCAGAUGCAAGACACACACACACACACAGAGAGAGGGGAGAGAGAGAGAGAGAGAGAGAGACUUAGGGCUCAGGGUCAUCACUGAAAUACGUCACACAGGUCCCUUUAUCGCAAUGCGUAGCAAUAGCUGUUACAUCAUGGUCACAAUCAGUGUCAAAAGUACAGUUUGGAUCUGUUACUGCAAUGUCAAAUAAGGAAAAAGAAUUUUACUAUAAGGUGAUAAAAUUUUGUGAAUAAUAUAAAUUAAAAUAAAAAAAUGGUGUGAAAAGUGACAUACCCACUAUACGUUGAGCAAUUAAUGGAGAAAAAAGGAUGAUAAAAGCACAAACAUAAAAGAGAAUUUGAGCCAUAUUUG